AGUGAACGCUGGCGGUAGGCCUAACACAUGCAAGUCGAACGGCAGCACAGUAAGAGCUUGCUCUUACGGGUGGCGAGUGGCGGACGGGUGAGGAAUACAUCGGAAUCUACUUUUUCGUGGGGGAUAACGUAGGGAAAUUUACGCUAAUACCGCAUACGACCUACGGGUGAAAGCAGGGGAUCUUCGGACCUUGCGCGAUUGAAUGAGCCGAUGUCGGAUUAGCUAGUUGGCGGGGUAAAGGCCCACCAAGGCGACGAUCCGUAGCUGGUCUGAGAGGAGGAUCAGCCACACUGGAACUGAGACACGGUCCAGACUCCUACGGGAGGCAGCAGUGGGGAAUAUUGGACAAUGGGCGCAAGCCUGAUCCAGCCAUACCGCGUGGGUGAAGAAGGCCUUCGGGUUGUAAAGCCCUUUUGUUGGGAAAGAAAAGCAGCAGGUUAAUACCCCGCUGUUCUGACGGUACCCAAAGAAUAAGCACCGGCUAACUUCGUG
rnacentral:rRNA from 1 species